AGCCCCUGCUGAGUCUCCUUGCUACAAAACCUUUCCUCUGGUUUGAAGGCUGAGGCGUCAGAGGCACUGUUGAAUCCUAUAGAGUUAAGUGUGGAA